CACUUCAGGGGUGCAUGGCGCCUCAGUGUUGUGUGCCCAAAUGUGCGUCCUCAAAGAGAAAAAAUCCUACCGUGGACAGACUUUCCACCGUUUCCCCAAAGAGCAGGCACUUCGCCGUGAAUGGAUAAAUCACGUCAAAAGGGAUCCUGGUCCAUAAUUCAAGAUCAACGCUGAGACCAAGGUUUGCUCUGAGCACUUUGAGAAGCAGUGUUUUGUAAAGACCGCCCGUGGUAUCACAGAGCUUAUAAAGGAUGCUGUGGCAACUUUGUUCGCCUGGACUUCAGAGAGGCCAAAGAGGAGAAUCAUCAUUCGCAGACCGAGUACGGAUUCCAUGGAGGUGGAUGAAAACCAGCCUGAUGUGAGAAGGGAUGCCUUGAGCACAGAUGUACCUCCUCCACAGCCAUACCAUGAUUAUGCUGUUCCACCGCUGACACCAGAGGGACAACUUGAGGCGGCACGCAAGCACAUCAUAGAGCAAGACAAGUUAAUAGCACAACUUAAAGGGACACUGUGUGAGAUUUUUAUUUGUUUAUUUCCAGAAUGCAUGCUGCCCAUUCACUAAUGUUAACUUUUUCAUGAAUACUUACCACCAGCAUCAAAUUCUAAGUAUUCAUUAUGACUAAAAUUGCACUUUUCAUACAUUAAAAGGGGGAUCUUCUCCAUGGUCCGUCAUUUUGAAUUUCCAAAAAUAGCCAUUUUUAGCUGCAAAAAUGACUGUACUUGGACCAUAUUUGAAAAUAUUUGUUUAUUACUUUCAUGUAAAGAUCAAAUUUGGCAAUAGGCAGCCCAGUUUCAAUGUGCAGCAUAGUUGCAGUACCUUUUUUUGACCAUUUCCUGCACAGUGUCCCUUUAAAGAUAAAGUGUUCAGUGUGUCAAGAUUCCAGUGAUGAUAGUCAGAUGUCAUUUUACACAGGAUUCCCAGACUAUGCCACCUUUAAAGCUGUAUAUAUGGCUCUACAGCCCACAGCCACAAGCAUAGUUGGAUGGAGUCAGGCUCAAAGGCUUAAACAAACAGGGGUACAGGUCAUUAGACAGGCAUUUAAUAUCCCCAAACUAGCAACUAUGGACCAGUUAUUUCUCUCUCUUUCGCCUCAGACAGGGUUUUGCUGAGCAGGACCUUGCGGUGCGCGUUGGUGUGUCACAGUCAACUGUGAGCAGAAUCUGUGUCACCUGGACUAACUAUCUAUACAUUUUAGGAUCUCUCCCCAUUUGGCCUUCA